CACUGAACCAGACCGUCCAUGUGGUUACGUGUAUUGUAUACUCGGAAUCACCACUUUCCCCAUUUCUCCAUCUGACUCCAUGGUCGUUUCGUCUUCGAUUGACUAGGGUUCUCUGCGCGCUCAUCUAGGACUUCGCUCGCUUGCAGGAUUUCUCUUCGAUUGAUUCCGCUGUUCAUCCAAUACGACUGUCCAGAUUAGAGGUUGAGGCUAGGGUUCAAUAGCCUCUAGGUCAAUUUUUAGUUCGCGCAAUCGAUUUGAAGGGUAUAUUUCUCAACCUCGAAUCGCUCUUCGACUUUUCGUUUAUACUGCGAGAUUCGUUGAAAAUUUUACGAGUCUUUUAUGGGGUUUACUUCGUUUUUUGUUCACUUCGCGAUUCUAUUCGCGAUCUGAAUUUUUUUUUUGGAUUUAGGGUUUCGACUCGAUUUUUUCUGGCCGGUUUCUAGAUGUUCUUAUUGUAAAAAUUGGGGAUUUAGGGUUUACUUUAGGAACCAUCGGGGUGGGGUUUGGUAUUUCGAUGGCAGCGGGGAGAAUGGGGGGUUAUCGCGACUAUGAUAUGAAGGACCGGGAUUCUAGUGUUGACGUUGUGAAUGGGAAAGAAGGAUAUGAACGAGGGCGGAGCGGUAACCCUGAAAACAAUAAGAGUCGAGGCCGGGAUGUUAGAGACAGAAUUAGGGUCUCUGGCAGCAGCGGUGGUGGUAUUAUUUCUCACGGAGUGAAGCAAAAGGUUUUGCUUGUCAGGACAAUGGAUAGGGAGCCGGGCGAGUUAUCCAGUGAGAGUGGAUCCGAUGAUGCCACUGAGUCCGGAUUGCCAUUUAAAAUUAACGAGUCUGCAAAGGUGGUGGAGAAUGGGAUUCGUUCUCCACCAGAGAAGAAGAGGAAGUUUUCACCAAUAGUUUGGGACAGAGACGAAAAGGAAGAGACUAUUUCCACAAGAAAUAAGGUCGCCAAGGCUGUGACAGCUUCACCUCUGUCGCCACCGAAGGAGAAGAGGGAAUCUCCUAAUGCAAUGUUGGAUACUCUUGAUGCCAUACCUGCUGAGGCUGGUAGGAGUAGUGAUCCCGAGUGCUUGCUACCUUCCUCUCUUGUUGAACCUUCUGUUGGGGGCCUUGGAUCAGAUGAAUUCCCCGCAAGUGGUUCACCAAUGAUGCCUUCUUCUGAUUCACAUAGGAAACCAUGGCAGGCUGAUCUUGAAGCAGAAAAUUUUGGGGAUGAUGAUUAUGUUCCAACAAGAAACAUUUCAUCCUCGAGAUGGGCUGCUGGUAAUAACUCUCCUGGCAAUGUAGGUGAAAUUUUAGACGAAGAAAUGCCUAAAAGGCGGAAGACAACACCAAUUUCUGAGUCAUUGGAAGGCAUCAGAGUACAAAGAAAAUCAUUAACUCCAGAGAUUGGGGAGAUAAUGAGACAAGGCUCUGAAGCAGGGACAAGAUCAUCUGAAUCGGCAGAACGUGGUGAUCGGUCUCGAUCAUCAAGUGCAAAUCAUUACCUUGGUAAUGAUUCUGAGAAAGAUGAAGGCACGGAUCUUGGUGAUGAAAUUCGUAGAAUGGAUACUAGCAGUAGCCGGUUAGAUACUGAUUCUGAGGAUGAGAUAGAAGCUCCCGAGGAAGCCGAGCCUAGUGUCCCUCCUCCCCGAAGUGUAAAUAUGCUUCAAGGCUGUAGAAGUGUUGAUGAAUUUGAAAGAUUGAACAAGAUUGAUGAAGGAACUUAUGGUGUUGUAUAUAGAGCUAGAGACAAAAAGUCGGGGGAAAUAGUUGCAUUGAAGAAGGUGAAAAUGGAAAAGGAACGAGAAGGUUUUCCCAUGACUUCUUUGAGGGAAAUAAACAUUCUCCUGUCUUUUCAUCACCCUUCAAUUGUUGAUGUAAAAGAAGUGGUGGUGGGCAGUAGUCUUGAUAGCAUUUUUAUGGUAAUGGAGUACAUGGAGCAUGAUCUAAAAGCACUCAUGGAGACAAUAAAACAGCCAUAUAGUCAAAGUGAAGUAAAAUGUCUGAUGCUUCAGUUACUGGAGGGUGUUAAAUACCUUCACGAUAAUUGGGUGCUUCAUAGGGACUUAAAGACAUCAAAUUUACUUUUGAAUAAUCAGGGAGAAUUGAAGAUCUGCGAUUUUGGACUAGCUCGGCAAUAUGGGAGCCCCUUGAAAACAUAUACACAUAUGGUUGUUACUCUUUGGUACAGGGCACCUGAACUUCUAUUGGGAACAAGACAGUAUUCAACAGCUAUUGACAUGUGGUCGUUAGGUUGUAUUAUGGCUGAACUAUUAUCAAAGCAACCACUGUUUAAUGGAAAAACUGAAGUUGAUCAGCUUGACAAGAUAUUUCGAACUCUAGGCACACCCAAUGAAACGAUUUGGCCUGGGUUUUCGAAACUUCCAGGAGUAAGGGUCAACUUUGUUAAGCACCAGCUUCCAGCUUUGGGUGAUUCUGGUACAACUUAUUGCGUAAGAAAUUCCCGGCGACAUCAUUUACCGGUUCGCCAGUUCUUUCUGAUUCAGGAUUUGAUUUGUUGAACAAACUUCUAACUUACGAUCCUGAGAAGAGAAUUACAGCUGAGGCCGCUCUUAAUCAUGAAUGGUUCUCAGAAGUUCCUCUUCCAAAGUCGAAAGAGUUCAUGCCUACUUUCCCUGCUCAACAUGCUCAGGAUAGGCGUUUGCGGAGAGUAAUGAAGAGUCCAGACCCCUUAGAAGAACAACGCAGAAAGGAGUUGCAGCAAGGGGAAUUGGGCACAUCUGGUUUGUUUGGCUAAGAGAAUGGAUCUGGUAAUUUGGCUCAGGCUGCCUGAAGUUAUUUUUCUGAUCACUCUUGACCAUUGGACCUGAUUAAGGUUAGGGAAGAGGGCUGUGAAUUGUGUUUGACAGAUGAUUGCCAGUGCUAUUUUAGCAGAGGGCAUUCACGGUUAUUUGGUUCAAGAUAUGUAUUUUUUUUUUUUUUUUUUUUUUUUUU